GCCUGGGUGGCUCAGUCGGUUAAGCGUCUGACUUCAGUUCAGGUCAUGAUCUCACAGCUUGUGAGUUCGAACCGCGCCUCGGGCU
rnacentral:tRNA from 1 species